rnacentral:rRNA from 1 species
GAUGAACGCUGGCGGCGUGCCUAAUACAUGCAAGUCGAGCGAACAGACGAGGAGCUUGCUUCUCUGACGUUAGCGGCGGACGGGUGAGUAAAACGUGGAUAACCUACCUAUAAGACUGGGAUAAAUUCGGGAAACCGGAGCUAAUAACGGAUAAUCUAUUGAACCGCAUGGUUCAAUAGUGAAAGACGGUUUUGCUGUCACUUAUAGAUGGAUCCGCGCCGCAUUAGCUAGUUGGUAAGGUAACGGCUUACCAAGGCAACGAUGCGUAGCCGACCUGAGAGGGUGAUCGGCCACACUGGAACUGAGACACGGUCCAGACUCCUACGGGAGGCAGCAGUAGGGAAUCUUCCGCAAUGGGCGAAAGCUUGACGGAGCAACGCCGCGUGAGUGAUGAAGGUCUUCGGAUCGUAAAACUCUGUUAUUAGGGAAGAACAAAUGUGUAAGUAACUAUGCACGUCUUGACGGUACCUAAUCAGAAAGCCACGGCUAACUACGUG